GCUUAACACAUGCAAGUCGCACGAGAACACCUCAGCUUGCUGGGGUAAGUAGAGUGGCGUACGGGUGAGUAACGCGUGGGUAAUCUGCCCUCGAAUCUGGGAUAACCCCGCGAAAGCGGGGCUAAUACCGGAUGAAAUCCAGUUAGCUUUGGCUAUAUGGAUCAAAGGUGGCCUCUGCAUGCAAGCUACUGUUUGGGGAUGAGCCCGCGUACCAUUAGCUUGUUGGUGGGGUAAAGGCCCACCAAGGCGACGAUGGUUAGCUGGUCUGAGAGGAUGAUCAGCCACACUGGAACUGGAACACGGUCCAGACUCCUACGGGAGGCAGCAGUGAGGAAUUUUGCGCAAUGGGGGUAACCCUGACGCAGCAACGCCGCGUGAGUGAUGAAGGCCUUCGGGUCGUAAAGCUCUGUCAAGUGGGAAGAACCCAUUCCGGCACAACAAGCCGGGGUGCUGACGGUACCACUGAAGGAAGCACCGGCUAACUCCGUGCCAGCAGCCGCGGUAAUACGGAGGGUGCGAGCGUUAUUCGGAAUUACUGGGCGUAAAGGGCGCGUAGGCGGCCGAUUAAGUCAGAUGUGAAAUCCCGGGGCUUACCCCCGGAAGUGCAUUUGAUACUGAACGGCUUGAGUAUGGGAGAGGGAAGUGGAAUUCCUGGUGUAGCGGUGAAAUGCGUAGAUCUCAGGAGGAACACCGGUGGCGAAGGCGACUUCCUGGACCAAUACUGACGCUGAGGCGCGAAGGCAUGGGGAGCAAACCGGAUUAGAUACCCUGGUAGUCCACGCAGUAAACGGUGAUCACUACGUGUAGCGGGUAUUGACCCCUGCUGUGCCGGAGUUAACGCAUUAAGUGAUCCGCCUGGGGAGUACGGCCGCAAGGUUAAAACUCAAAGGAAUUGACGGCGGCCCGCACAAGCGGUGGAGCAUGUGCGUUAUUCGACGCAACGCGAAGAACCUUACUUGGAUUUGACCUCUCGGGGAAUCCCGCGGAAACGCGGGAGUGCCUUCGGGGAGCCCGAGACAGGUGCUGCAUGGCUGUCGUCAGCUCGUGUCGUGAGAUGU
rnacentral:rRNA from 1 species